CGUAGGGGGCGAGCGUUGUCCGGAUUUAUUGGGCGUAAAGAGCUCGUAGGCGGCUCAGUAAGUCAGGUGUGAAAACUCCAGGCUCAACCUGGAGACGCCACCUGAUACUGCUGUGGCUAGAGUCCGGUAGGGGAGCAUGGAAUUCCUGGUGUAGCGGUGAAAUGCGCAGAUAUCAGGAGGAACACCAGUGGCGAAGGCGGUGCUCUGGGCCGGAACUGACGCUGAGGAGCGAAAGCGUGGGGAGCAAACAGGAUUAGAUACCCUGGUAGUCCACGCCGUAAACGUUGGGUACUAGGUGUGGGGCCUUAUCAACGGGGCUCUGUGCCGAAGCUAACGCAUUAAGUACCCCGCCUGGGGAGUACGGCCGCAAGGCUA
rnacentral:rRNA from 1 species